ensembl:lncRNA
GGAUGCCGAGGCGCGGCACUGUUAGAGCCUGAAGAAGAGGAUGAUGAGGGCGGCUGCCUCGUCCCAGACAGGUUUGGGUUCCUGCAUGAGCAGAAGUUGCCCCAAGACAGCACCCCGGGGGCAAAGGUAAGGACAAGUCCUUGGCCAUGGGCCAGUCAUCUGGAAGCAGAGCUGGGUGGAGGGGGCAUGUGGGGCUCGGCAAUGGUUAGUGGGAGUGCCAUAAGGUCCUGCAAUGUGGUACUUACAUGGCCCCUGCUGACAUCUUAACACACUCACCUGCCCCAGAACUGAGCCGCAGUUCAGGGGCAUCUUCCUGUCAGCUGUCAUGAGUCAUUGGCAUGGUUGGGAGUGACCUGGCUGGAGCUCAGGGGCUCUGCCUUGAGGAUGGGGCAGCUCGGGUCAGAGGCCAGGCCACCGACGCUCCCCAGACAGAAGACCUGGGGCUCACGGUCUGUGCCUUUUCUGAUUCCUUCCUUUGAGUGCACACAGAGCUCCUGAGCUGCAUCUGAGGGCCACUCUCAGAGUCUGAAGCUGAGCUCACACCAUCCUGUCUUGUUUUCCAGUGUAAACAGGUGCACAGGAUCCAGAAAUGGGUGAAAAUGAUAAAGAACCACAGCAAAUACCAUGGCAGCGAGAAGGUACCGUGGAGCUGAGGGCCCCUCGGGAACACUGAGAGCUGAGUUGGGGUUUGAGCAGUGCCCAUUCCCGUGCCAGGCACCGCCUGCCUCUCAGAUGCCCAGGGGCAACUGUCCAGCCCCCAGGGACACAGGUCAUGUGCACCCCUUCCCCAUACACGCAGGACACUGUCCUGGUAGAAAAUCUAAAGUCACUGCUGAAGACAAUCCCGCAUGCAGGGCAGGUGUGGUUCCAGGAGCCCUGUAGGGGGCAGUCAGUGCAGGGCAGAGCCGGUGCCCCUGAGCCCUUGGCCCCCAGUCACUGUGGGUCAUAAGGCCCCCAUCUGGGUAGAUCCUCCCUCUGCCAAUACACACGGAGCCCCUGGCUUCUCCCUCCUGCUGUCUCACCCUGCGCUCCCUCCCCGAGUGGCCACGUUCACCACUCACCAGAGCCUCCUCUCUCCUGUAGUUUCAGCAGAGAAUCUACAAGGGCAUCCCUGCCCAGGUGCGCGGGAAGGUGUGGGCUGUGAUGCUGGAGGUGGACAAGAAGAAGGCCCAGAAUCCAGGCAAAUACGCGGUAUGGCUCUGCACUCAGCCCAAGGGGCCCUGGCCUGCUCGGGCCUGGUCAGGAGCCUGAGUCUCCGUGGAGGACCGUCCCUGACUGAGCCCUCGGGAGCCUCCUCCCCAUCCUGCCUGCUUCUCUCCCUAGAUCCUAGUCAGUGCCUCCUCCACGUCUCCCCAGACCCAGCUGGGACUGCACAUGUGUGUUUUGUGCCAGAGGCUUUAACCUGCUCUCUGCUGAGCUCACCAGGGCAGCUUGGCAUAAGGCCAGAACAGAGGAAUUGCUGCGCCCAUGAUGGGCGGGGGUCUCCCAGUAUGAGAUCACAAUGGUGUGAGGUAGGGAGCCCCACAGGCUCUGUGCUAACAGGGCCUGCCCACAGCUGGCCCUGCCUUCACAUGCACUUGCAGCCCCUGGCAUUGCCCUUGCCUGGAGUGGCUGGUCCAAUGGAGAUGAAAGAGCAGGGCCAGGCUGGGCGGCCACUUCACUUCCAUAACAUCGACUCCGCCAUCACAUUGGACUUUCAGAAACCACCUGAAACCACCACCUCCUCUGCCUCUGCCUCUUCUUAG